rnacentral:rRNA from 1 species
UCCUACGGGUGGCUGCAGUGGGGAAUAUUGCACAAUGGGCGCAAGCCUGAUGCAGCGACGCCGCGUGAGGGAUGGAGGCCUUCGGGUUGUAAACCUCUUUUAUCGGGGAGCAAGCGUGAGUGAGUUUACCCGUUGAAUAAGCACCGGCUAACUACGUGCCAGCAGCCGCGGUAAUACGUAGGGUGCAAGCGUUAUCCGGAAUUAUUGGGCGUAAAGGGCUCGUAGGCGGUUCGUCGCGUCCGGUGUGAAAGUCCAUCGCUUAACGGUGGAUCCGCGCCGGGUACGGGCGGGCUUGAGUGCGGUAGGGGAGACUGGAAUUCCCGGUGUAACGGUGGAAUGUGUAGAUAUCGGGAAGAACACCAAUGGCGAAGGCAGGUCUCUGGGCCGUUACUGACGCUGAGGAGCGAAAGCGUGGGGAGCGAACAGGAUUAGAUACCCCGGUAGUCC